CCUACGGGAGGCAGCAGUGAGGAAUAUUGGUCAAUGGGCUUACGCCUGAACCAGCCAAGUCGCGUGAGGGAAGACUGCCCUAUGGGUUGUAAACCUCUUUUGUCAGGGAGCAAUUGGCGCUACGUGUAGCGUUAUCGAGAGUACCUGAAGAAAAAGCAUCGUGUAAGUCCGUGCCAGCAGCCGCGUUAAUACGGGGGAUGCGAGGGUUAUCCGGAUUUAUUGGGUUUAAAGGGUGCGUAGGCGGACUGCCAAGUCAGCGGUAAAGUCGCGGGGCUAAACCUCGCAUCGCCGUUGAUACUGGCGUUCUUGAGUAGGCGAGAGGUAUGCGGAAUGCGUGGUGUAGCGGUGAAAUGCAUAGAUAUCACGCAGAACUCCGAUUGCGAAGGCAGCAUACCGGCGCCCAACUGACGCUGAAGCACGAAAGCGUGGGUAUCGAACAGGAUUAGAUACCCGAGUAGUC
rnacentral:rRNA from 1 species